GACGAACGCUGGCGGCGUGCUUAGCACAUGCAAGUCGAACGGUAAGGCCCUUCGGGGUACACGAGUGGCGAACGGGUGAGUAACACGUGGGUGAUCUGCCCUGCACUUCGGGAUAAGCCUGGGAAACUGGGUCUAAUACCGGAUAGGACCACUGCCUGCAUGGGUGGUGGUGGAAAGCUUUUGCGGUGUGGGAUGGGCCCGCGGCCUAUCAGCUUGUUGGUGGGGUGAUGGCCUACCAAGGCGACGACGGGUAGCCGGCCUGGGAGGGUGACCGGGCACAAUGGGACUGAGAUACGGCCCAGACGGCUACGGGGGGCAGCAGUGGGGAAUAUUGCACAAUGGGCGCAAGCCUGAUGCAGCGACGCCGCGUGAGGGAUGACGGCCUUCGGGUUGUAAACCUCUUUCAGCACCGACGAAGCGCAAGUGACGGUAGGUGCAGAAGAAGGACCGGCCAACUACGCGCCAGCCGCCGCAGUAA
rnacentral:rRNA from 1 species